UUUUUUUUCUUUUUUUUUGUAUAGACAAAAUAAAAUCUGCCAAGCAAUUGGAUUUUUCUCCUUUUUUAAUUACAAAGGUAAAAUAUCACAGGAAUUCAAAGCCCUACAAACACAGCAGCUUUUCCCUGUCCCUCUCUCUCCCUGCUCACUAUCUCUGGGAGGGCCUGAGCUGUUCACAAAAUGGCAGGCUGACUCAGUGCCCUGCCUGGACUAGUCUUAAGUACUGACAUCCCUUUAAGUCUGUCAGUUUAUGAUGCCAUCUGAUGUAGUAGGUCAUUAGUCACUUAAGUCACGUGGUAUUUGCAUUGCCCCCUUAUUGGAUGAUCGAUGCUUUAAACAAAACAGAAAAUGUCAAGUCAUUUCAUUAUAUUGUGGGUGGUUUUUCUAAUGAGCAAGCAUUUUGGCCAGAGAUGCAUAUUAGCUUUUAGGACUCAUUUUCACAGGCAGUCAAACACUUUUCCAUACUUAGUGGCAGCAAAAGAGGGGGCAUUUCUCCCAUUUAUAGCAAAAUGCAGUGUAUAAACAUAACUUAGUAGCACUGUAUGUAUUUUCUUUUUGUAGACUGGCAUUUCCAGUUGUGUAGAAACAAGAACUGCAGAGGCACUAAAAAUGGAAUCAAGCUCAAAGACCAAGACAUAUGUGCUUCUGACAGCACACUUUGAUUCUCAACAUUGGGUCACCAUAAUCGACCCCUUGGUGUUCACUUGAAAUCCUCUCUUUUUAAUCCAUGCUCUUUCCUUUCCCAAGAUGCAGAGUUUUACAGGUAGGAUAUUCAGGAGCCUACAGCACUGGCUUAUCUUUGACUUCACUCUGAGCACACACAGGCCAGUUGCAAAUGUUUUUAAAACCUUUCCCAAUGUUCAUCAUUACCUUAUAUCCUUUCCUGCUACUUGAGCUUGUCACUACUCUAAAUCCUUCCCUACCACUUACAGGUUACUUUUCUGCAGAACUUUCUUAGUCAAACUCAACUUAUGAUUUAAUUCACACCAAAAGAAAUCGUUACAAAAAGUCACAAAGCAGCUAUGCAGGGUACAAGGAAGUACUUAUGUUUCUGAAAGCACAUGGAAAAUGGUUCUUAGUUCUCAGCUGACAAGAACCACUUGAAAUACCCAACACAUGCCCCAUUCACCACUAGACCAGAAGAUGCCCCACAGAAGAGCAGUGGCUCACUGACAACAGGAAAAAGACAAGAAAAAUUGCUCUGAGAGGGAAAGGAGGAGCUGCAUGGAAUAAAGUGUUCUCUGUCACCUUGUAGAUGGAGUGUUCAGAGCAGAACUAAAGCCUGCCAUGCAUGCACUGACUGUCCACAAGGUGAAAUGAUACUGAAGAGGCAUUUCCAUUGUGAAGACUUUCUAAAAGGCCUGCUGGAUCUGUUGGGAAGAACAUUUUUCAAAGAGAUUCAGACAACAAACUGUGCUUUCCACAAUAAAAAUAUCCAUUAAGCUCCAUUAUGGUUAUUUUUAUUGAAGCUAGUCUAGACAUUCAAGUAUAAUUUUUAUUAAUCUCCAGAUAAAUAGAAAUCUAGAUAAAGAUGGAGCCACUGCUGCUGUGUAGGGUCAGACUUCAUAACAGCCCAGUCAUUAUCCUAUCUCCAACAGCAACCAGAACACAAUAAGCAUUCAAGCUUCCCUCAUUCCCAAAUGCCCUGUGACUCAUACUCUGCCUCACUGUGUUAAACAGUUCCUCAGCAUUUUUUUUUCAUUAAAGCAUUUAAUAUUUGGGAAAAAAAAAAAGGAGAAAAUUUGGCUUAUUCUUCUGUUGAUGAAAUGAAUCUCACUUGAAAGCUUGUUUUAUUUUAAUUUCCAAUCUGCCUGAGAUCUUUCAAGUCUAUCUAAUCCUAAAAUACCAAACACUUUAAGAAUUCUUUUUAGUUUUCAGAAAUUGGAAGCAGUCAGCAGUUUCUCCCAAGGAUAAUACAAGUUUGAAGAUAUCCUGGGCUUUUAAACAAACACAAAUUAUGAAGUUUAGGCUUCAAAGAAGCCCUUCCAGCUAACUUCGAACCCUUUCAGGUUUGGAAAUUAUUGUCUCUAGUUGCUUUCUUGGCAAAGAAAGAACUGAAACCAUGAUCCCAGCCUGGCCUGCAUUAUCUUGUCUUGUGCUGGUAAUGUCUUGGUACAGUGUAAAGGUCAUUUCUGAACCUGACAGAUCCAUGAGACUGAAGCUUCUGGUUUUGGAAAGAGCUAGAAACUUUCCAGGCUACAUCAGCCUGGCUGUUUCUGGAGAAAGUGGACCAGCUCAUCUAGGAUUGAUACUGAGGUUAAGAAAUCUAUCAUGUUUUAUUGUUCCUGCUGAUGUAUGACAUGCCAUCCUUCAUCUCUUUGUAAUGCAGAGUGCCUGCAUGUUGGCUCACAUUAUACUGUCAGCUUCACUUUUACUCCCUCCUCCCCCAACUCCAUUUGGUCUGUUCAUGCUAAAAAUAACAUCAAGAUUCAUGACUAUGAAAGGGAUGGGUGCCAGAGAGAGGAAAACUUGCUGACUUAAAGACUCGUGGCCAUACUUACCACCUUCUAAUGCAAGCCUGGAUUGUCUCUAUUCGAGGAACUCCAGAAAGUGGGGGGCAAAGUCACCUACUUGAGGAGAUUGUCCACUAUCUAUAUUAAAAUCUUUUCAGCAAUGCAGGUCAAGGGACAGACUGACACUUUCAGGCAUUCCAGGCUCCUGUCUUCUCUGUGGCAUGAUCAAAGGCUGUUGUGUGGGUUUAAUGUGUGACUUCUUUGGGAAAGGCCACCAAAGCCCAAAGAAAAGUUCUUCACCUUCAUUUUAAGGCUCUGUGAGGUUUGCACCAGGUCUUGGACAUCCCCCUUGUGCAUCUCCCAUCUCUGUUUGAAAGUCUGACUGACAGCUCUUCCUUUCCAGACAGUAAGCACAUGCUUGCAGGGAAGAAAGGAGCUUUAGCAAAAGUACAUACAAGGAAUUUGUUCUGCUAAUCAAGUAGCAGAUGUCUGCUCUCUGAGCUUAUAACAAAAUCUUGCCCCUUUGUGGUAUUCAGGGGCUCCAGGCCACUGGAGAUGUGCCUUCCCAGUAAGAUUUCUAAUGCUGCUCAUCUCUAGACAUUUAAGAGCCUGGGGUUUUUCUCUUCAGUUAUUGUUCUUUUCUAAAAUUGGAUGUCUUUUCUUUCUUAAAGUGCAGCUAUGGUGUCAUGAUGUCCUAAUUUGUAUAAUUGCUGUCUAUCCUAAAGUUUCCCCUGCAGUUUCAAUUACAUAUCUCACUUCAAUUAAACUCUUUAAUUCUUGUCCCAAACUGGCACACAGCAUGGCUAACAGUCAUGGUUAUCCUGCUCUACCCCAAAGCUGCCUGCACUGUCCUAGUGAGAUGGCUGAAUAGAAAGCAGUUUGAAGCCACCCAGGAUAAAAUGCAUUGGAAGAAAUGUCAAACAUUAAUCCUGAGUUAUUCUCACCUUUGUUUUCCAUCUGGAGGAACACAAUAUGAACCAGAAAACCUUAAAGGAAAUUUCAAACUCAAGGUUUGAACCAGAGUUAAGGAAGCACAGCAGAAAUUGAAUACCCUGCCUGGCUUCCUGAGUAAAGGAAUGGAAGAGGUGAAAGGCUCAUUUGAGGGGGCUGAAGACCCUCUAGAGGGUGCCCAGAGGAUAAAACCAUGCAACUUAAAGCACUACAAGAGGGAGAUAGAGGAGAGGGCUGGGGUAGGGUUUGCCACACAGGCAGUAGGGCCUGUUCCAUAAAGCAUCUUGUCGUGUAAACAAGAUGUACCUUUGACAUCCUCCCCUUCAGGGCACCAAGGCAUGAAGCAGGCGAUGUAUUUCAAGCCAAACAGGUGAUUUGUAGGUGCUAAGUGUUCAUAAAGACAAGAUUAAAGAGCUCUCUGAUAGCAGGGCAGUAAAUCAUUCCCCACCUGCAGAGUUGAGUGCCGGGCACGGAUGCUCCUCCGACCCUGAUUAAAUAAAGGAUGGCUCAGCAAGAUGGGGGCUAAAGUUAGCUGACAGCUCAUGAGUGAACUAGUGUCUUGCCUGCUGCUGUUGCAACUGAUGGCUAAUUUUCUCCCAAAGGAACCUUUGCAAAGACUGGUAAUUAAAACUGGUGGAAGGCAAACAGGCUCAUGGGAAGGCAGACCCAUCUGUCCACUAUCCUUCAACCAUGAGCGUCCCCUGACUAACAGCCUCUGUGGGUCAAAGCUGCUCCUGGGUGAAUAAAAUCCCAAAACCUGGUGCUUUCACAUGCUCCAGUGAAAGAAAGCUACAAAUAAAUAUCUAACAGCUUUAUAACCAGCAUGCAACAAACCUUGAACAAGCUCCAGGUGCCCUACCUAGAGUGUUGGGGAUCAAAUACACACAUACAUAAAUAUAUAUGUAAGCAUAUAUAUACAUGUCUCUGAAACACCCUUAUGUUCUCACAGUAUCCCAGGCUCUCCCCUGAGAAUCAUGUUUUCCCUUACCCAGUCAACUGCGUGUGAAAAUAAUUAUCUGGGUGUUACAACCUGGGAAGUGAUGGCCCAGAGGAGGGAGCUUUUUCAGUCAAAGAUGCAGAAUUUGAUGGCAGAGCAGGUAACAGAACCCAGGCAGCAUCAACUCCCAAGUCUCCUUCUUAACCAAGCACAUGUUUAGACUAAAGAAGCAGGUUUUGUUUUAAAUUACCUAUUUGACUAGCUUAGAUAGGACCCAAAAGAACUUAAUGGAAAGGAAGCUUAAUGGGACCUCAUUAGAUUGUUAUAACAUUUUUUCUGCACUCUGCUAUUAGCUCUUUAAAAUAGAUUAUCGGAAAGAACACACUUCACAGAUUUAAAUUACUUGUGGCUUUUGCCUUACCUGAGUUAUUUCUUUUACUUUUUAUUCGUCUGGAGUUUUCAGAUUAGCUUGGUGAGAUAUUUCUUUUCCAUUUCUAGAUUUACAGAUACUUGUCAGAAGCUGGCUCAGUUGAGUUGUUAGUGACUCUACUCAAUCCUAAUAAAAAAAUCAUUUUAAUUGAUGGAUUCAAAUUUUGGAAUAAUUUUUCUGUAAAAUUAAACAAAAGAGGGUUUUUUUUCCAAGUUGUUUUUUCAAGGGGCAACAUACUAACAAGAAGAUAGGUGGUCUAGGGGUCUUUUUGGAGUUUCCCCCAUUUUGCCAUUGUAUUGAAACUAGUAAUAGUCAAAGAUCAUCCAAAUCCCAGAGUUAGUCUUAAGUUGCAUUUACAAUAGCAACAUUCCCUAAACUUGGGUGUGCUCAAAUUUGCUCCACUAUAAGGAAGGAAAGACAAUGCAGGAAAGAUCUGGAGCAUUGGAUACCCAUGAUCAGGUGCUUUACCUCCAGCCAAGCUCUAAAACUGAGCUUUGUUAUGAAAGCUUUGGCACUGAACUUUGGGCCAAGAAUGGAAGUGGCUCCUCUAUGACAAAAAGAGCAACUAUUGCCUUCAUGUAUUCCAGGCAUGGCUCAAAGGUAUAAUCAAUAGAAAGGUUAAAAUAGGGGAUAGGGAGAUCUAAAAGCUGAGAAGUCCCAUAUGGUUGCUUUUCCUGAAAGAUGUCUGCUUGUUUUGAUGCUCAUCCAACUACUUAUCUGCACUGAUAAAAACAACCCACAAUAAAGGCAGCUGCUGCUUCACAGUUCAUGAUGUUCUACAUUCAGCAUCCUGUGUCCACUUUCAUAAAGCAGAGCAAGAGUACAUGCAGAAGUAUUAAGUGUAUUUUUUUUUUUUGCACCAGUAUCUCCUGCUUUUCACAUUGCAAUU
rnacentral:lncRNA from 1 species